CGUAGGUGGCAAGCGUUGUCCGGAAUUAUUGGGCGUAAAGCGCGCGCAGGCGGCCUUUUAAGUCUGAUGUGAAAGCCCCCGGCUCAACCGGGGGAGGGCCAUUGGAAACUGGAAGGCUUGAGUACAGAAGAGAAGAGUGGAAUUCCACGUGUAGCGGUGAAAUGCGUAGAGAUGUGGAGGAACACCAGUGGCGAAGGCGACUCUUUGGUCUGUAACUGACGCUGAGGCGCGAAAGCGUGGGGAGCAAACAGGAUU
rnacentral:rRNA from 1 species